rnacentral:lncRNA from 1 species
AUCAAUGUACUUCCAUUACCGGUUCUGAGAAUCUGGUAUUAGAAAUCCCGGUGUUUGUCUUGUAAUCUGUCAGCCUGAUCUGUCUCAACUAAUGUCAAUCUGAUUUGUCUUGGAGUAGAAUAAUUAAAAAGGUUACGGGACACUUGAUUAUUUAAACUAAGUUUAAAUUAUAAAGAAAAUAAAUUUAAAAAUAAGUUUU